GCUUAAUUGUUUGGCAAGGCAAUAAACGGUGCCAAGUGUUAUACUAAACAAAGCCAAAAUGUGAUCGUUCUGCAAAAUUUGAGCAAAAACAUCGCAGCGAUGAAUGCAAAAUCUUUUUUCGAACACGCGCAGCUACAUAUUCGGGACCCUGUAUACAACAGCGCAACGAUGGUGACUGGAGCAGCGUGGCAGCUCCAGAUUUCCUUCUAGGGGCGUGCAGUAGCUGUUGGUCAGUGUUCCCAGCAAAGUUGUCGUUUCCAAGGGGCAGCGAGAAUUGACCCUUGUGUAGUACUCGAGAUGUGACAUUUAAAAGGAGACAAGCCAAGAACAUUGUUGCCUCUGAGUCAAGAUUGUGAGUCAAGUCCUGGAUUUGGAUGUGUAUGUGGAAGAAGAAAAACAAUCACAAGUGUCGCCUGUGCUUGGCCAGCAGCGGGUUCACAUCACAGAAUGAAAGCAGGAACUGACGUGACAGCAUAAAGUCUCUAGGUGUAUUGGAUGUUUUGAAAAUAAACUAGUUACAUGGUCAUGUUGCCA